AAAUUUCAUCUAAAGCUAAAUAUUGGCCAGAGACCGAUAGCGCACAAGUAGAGUGAUCGAAAGAUGAAAAGCACUUUGGAAAGAGAGUUAAACAGUACGUGAAAUUGUUGAAAGGGAAGCGCUUGCAACCAGACUUGCCCGCGGGUGAUCAGCCGGUGUUCUCACCGGUGCACUCGCCCGUGGUCAGGCCAGCAUCGGUUUGGGCGGCCGGACAAAGUCCCCCGGAAUGUGGCUCCCCUCGGGGAGUGUUAUAGCCGGGGGUGCAAUGCGGCCCGCCUGGACCGAGGACCGCGCUUCGCGCUAGGAUGCUGGCGUAAUGGUUGUAAGCGACCCGUCUUGAAACACGGACCAAGGAGUCUAACAUCUAUGCGAGUGUUUGGGUGUCAAACCCAUGCGCGUAAUGAAAGUGAACGGAGGUGGGAACCCCCAAGGGUGCACCAUCGACCGAUCCUGAUGUCUUCGGAUGGAUUUGAGUAAGAGCAUAGCUGUUGGGACCCGAAAGAUGGUGAACUAUGCCUGAAUAGGGUGAAGCCAGAGGAAACUCUGGUGGAGGCUCGCAGCGGUUCUGACGUGCAAAUCGAUCGUCAAAUUUGGGUAUAGGGGCGAAAGACUAAUCGAACCAUCUGUUACUAGAUGGCAUACGGGCGUACAAGCCCAAGUAGUCCCCGGUCCUGGGGGCGACAUCGUCGGUCUUGCGGGGACGCCUUCAGGUUACCCGGAGUGGGCUCUCAGACCCAUCCACAGACUAAGUGGCGGUGGCCGCCUCACCCGAGCGCGGUUAGGAUAUAGCCGAUCCUCCC
rnacentral:rRNA from 1 species